AAGGAAGGAAGAGAGGGAGGGAGGAAGGAAGGAGGGAAGGAAGGAAGGAGGGAAGGAAAAGAGGAAGGAAGGAAGGGAGGGAAGGAGGAAGGAAGAAAGGGAGGGAGGGAGUUGGUUAAGCUCAAAUCUGGUUCUAAUGAACUCUAUUUCAGUGGGAAGCCUGGAGUUAAGAACUGCACAACAAUCAAUCUGGAGCAUUUUAGUCUUGAGUUGAUCUGCUAAAGCAGUUCUGAAGAGGGGUUGAUCAAAGGCAACAGGACAUGGGGAUUCAGCUUCCAGAAGGAUUCAGCUUCCAGAAAGUGUAAGAAACCCCUGAAAUUUUCUGUACUGGUAAACAUGAAAGGCAAACAUCCAUUGAGACAUGGUUCUCUAUGAAGUGGGGAUGAGUAUUCCAACCUCCUCUGAAUCUCCACGAAGCAGCAGAACUUUACAAAGGAAUAAGCAAGAAUGCCCAUUGCCAAUAAAACUCUUCAGAGUUUAUCCUGGAGACCACAGAUAAAGUAACGAGAUGAGGAAAAAAAAUAAUCUGCCUAGGUACCCUCAUGGCUUCCUUUACAUUUUGAGGAUGCUGCUGCUGCUCCCCGUUUCUCAGGCAGUGAUGCUUCUGUGAAGCCCCCUGAUGGGUCCUGUGGUUGUCUGCUGUCCAUGUCAGUUACUGAAGCAGCACAUGAAGAGGUAGAACUCUGAGCACAAUGUCAUGAGAAAGAAACGAAGAAAUAAGUUAGGAAAAGUAAUAUAUCUUGAAAAUAAUCUUUUGGAAUGAAUUUGUUCUGACUUUUGAGAGAAGAUGGGAGUACUAUACCAGGGACUGAGCAAACAGCAGUAUAGUAACAAUUCAAGGGAAGGCAAAUUAGAUGUUACAUUGCAAGAGUCUUGGAGAAUUGGUUAUUAGGUCUCUGCAUCCUGGCAAAGAUAAAUAUAUUAAUGGAUCAUAGAAAGAGUGUUUGCUAAGAGCAAAAAUAAUCUGUCCACAGUGGCAUCUCCAAAAUGAUUUCUGGAGAAAAAAAGGG
rnacentral:lncRNA from 1 species